GCCUGGGUGGCUCAGUCGGUUGAGCGUCCGACUUCAGCUCAGGUCACGAUCUCACGGUCUGUGGGUUCGAGCCCCGCGUCGGGCU
rnacentral:tRNA from 1 species